rnacentral:rRNA from 1 species
UACAGAGGGUGCAAGCGUUGUUCGGAAUUAUUGGGCGUAAAGGGCGCGUAGGCGGUGCCACAAGUCACCUGUGAAAUCUCCGGGCUUAACUCGGAGCCUGCAGGCGAAACUGUGGUGCUGGAGUGUGGCAGAGGGGGGUGGAAUUCCAGCGUGUAGCAGUGAAAUGCGUAGAGAUGUGGAGGAACACCGAUGGCGAAGGCAGCCCCCUGGGCCAACACUGACGCCUCAGGCACGAAAGCGUGGGGAGCAAACAGG